rnacentral:rRNA from 1 species
UACGGGGGGUGCAAGCGUUGUUCGGAAUUACUGGGCGUAAAGGGCUCGUAGGUGGCCAACUAAGUCAGACGUGAAAUCCCUCGGCUUAACCGGGGAACUGCGUCUGAUACUGGAUGGCUUGAGUUUGGGAGGGGGAUGCGGAAUUCCAGGUGUAGCGGUGAAAUGCGUAGAUAUCUGGAGGAACACCGGUGGCGAAGGCGGCAUCCUGGACCAACACUGACACUGAGGAGCGAAAGCCAGGGGAGCAAACGGG